rnacentral:lncRNA from 13 species
AUGUACAGCGCUAUCAAACUGGUAACUAGAAUUAGUCUUUUAUUCAACAUCGACAAGACGUGGCAUCAUUUUGGAGUGACUGUGUGCCCCAAGGAGGAUCUCCAGGAUGAAAAACAGCCAGAGAGCAGCCUGGGUAGAGAUGUGUCUGACAGGAUGGUGUGCUCGGCCUGCCAGUGCCCCUUCGACACCCGGGAGGAGCAGGUGAAUAACUGACUGAGGGUUGGGAUGGACUGACCAGAGACCAUAAAGGAGAGAUUCACCCAUUUAGAAUAUUAUAUAGUUUUUUUCGGCAUCUUUGAGCCAUGUUCUAUCGAUUCCCUGUUAGUGUUACGAUACCAACAUUUAACUAACGAUACCAGGCCAAGUAUCACCAUACCAACGAUACGAUACCAGGCCAAGUAUCACCAUACCAACGAUACGAUACCAGGCCAAGUAUCACCAUACCAACGAUACGAUACCAGGCCAAGUAUCACCAUACCAACGAUACGAUACCAGGCCAAGUAUCACCAUACCAACGAUACGAUACCAGGCCAAGUAUCACCAUACCAACGAUACGAUACCAGGCCAAGUAUCACCA